rnacentral:rRNA from 1 species
GACGAACGCUGGCGGCGUGCUUAACACAUGCAAGUCGAACGGAAAGGCCCUGCUUUUGUGGGGUGCUCGAGUGGCGAACGGGUGAGUAACACGUGAGUAACCUGCCCUUGACUUUGGGAUAACUUCAGGAAACUGGGGCUAAUACCGGAUAGGAGCUCCUGCUGCAUGGUGGGGGUUGGAAAGUUUCGGCGGUUGGGGAUGGACUCGCGGCUUAUCAGCUUGUUGGUGGGGUAGUGGCUUACCAAGGCUUUGACGGGUAGCCGGCCUGUGAGGGUGACCGGCCACAUUGGGACUGAGAUACGGCCCAGACUCCUACGGGAGGCAGAAGUGGGGAAUAGUUAACAAUGGGCGGAAGCCUGAUGCAGCAACGCCGCGUGCGGGAUGACGGCCUUCGGGUUGUAAACCGCUUUCGCCUGUGACGAAGCGUGAGUGACGGUAAUGGGUAAAGAAGCACCGGCUAACUACGUG